rnacentral:rRNA from 1 species
UACGUAGGGUGCGAGCGUUGUCCGGAAUUAUUGGGCGUAAAGGGCUCGUAGGCGGUUUGUCGCGUCGGGAGUGAAAACCAGGUGCUUAACACCUGGCUUGCUUUCGAUACGGGCAGACUAGAGGCAUGCAGGGGAGAGCGGAAUUCCUGGUGUAGCGGUGAAAUGCGCAGAUAUCAGGAGGAACACCGGUGGCGAAGGCGGUUCUCUGGGCAUGUCCUGACGCUGAGGAGCGAAAGUGUGGGGAGCGAACAGG